CUACGGGAUGCUGCAGUGAGGAAUUUUGCGCAAUGGGGGAAACCCUGACGCAGCAACGCCGCGUGAGUGAAGAAGGCUUUAGGGUCGUAAAGCUCUGUCAAGUGGGAAAAAGAUCACAUGGUUAAUACCUGUGUGAUUUGAUGGUACCACUAGAGGAAGCACCGGCUAACUCCGUGCCAGCAGCCGCGGUAAUACGGAGGGUGCUAGCGUUGUUCGGAAUUACUGGGCGUAAAGAGCGUGUAGGCGGUAUGGCAAGUCAGAUGUGAAAGCCCUGGGCUCAACCCAGGAAGUGCAUUUGAUACUGCCUUUCUAGAGUAUGGGAGAGGAGAGUGGAAUUCCCAGUGUAGAGGUGAAAUUCGUAGAUAUUGGGAGGAACACCCGUGGCGAAGGCGACUCUCUGGACCAAUACUGACGCUGAGACGCGAAAGCGUGGGGAGCAAACAGGAUUAGAUACCCUCGUAGUC
rnacentral:rRNA from 1 species